rfam:Schistosoma mansoni strain Puerto Rico chromosome 1, complete genome
AUUCAGCUGACAAGUCCCAAAUAGAACGAAACGCGCGUCCUGCUAU